UGCCCUGCCGUCCUGCCUGUCUGUGC
rnacentral:piRNA from 1 species